CCUACGGGAGGCAGCAGUGGGGAAUCUUAGACAAUGGGCGCAAGCCUGAUCUAGCCAUGCCGCGUGAGUGACGAAGGCCUUAGGGUCGUAAAGCUCUUUCGCCAGAGAUGAUAAUGACAGUAUCUGGUAAAGAAACCCCGGCUAACUCCGUGCCAGCAGCCGCGGUAAUACGGAGGGGGUUAGCGUUGUUCGGAAUUACUGGGCGUAAAGCGUACGUAGGCGGAUUGGAAAGUAUGGGGUGAAAUCCCAGGGCUCAACCCUGGAACUGCCCUGUAAACUAUCAGUCUAGAGUUCGAGAGAGGUGAGUGGAAUUCCAAGUGUAGAGGUGAAAUUCGUAGAUAUUUGGAGGAACACCAGUGGCGAAGGCGGCUCACUGGCUCGAUACUGACGCUGAGGUACGAAAGUGUGGGGAGCAAACAGGAUUAGAUACCCCAGUAGUC
rnacentral:rRNA from 1 species